AAUCCCUUUACUAUUCGUAAACGACUUUUCUGUCAUUAAUGGAUCCAACUUAUCUAAAGAUGGCGCAUCUUUAAUUCCUUUCAUUUUCUUCUCUAUUUCUUCAAAUUUCUCUAAAUCUGGGUCUUUCUCUUCUUCCGAUUCUUUUUUUACAGUUUCUUGUUUUGAUUCUUC
rnacentral:sRNA from 1 species